AAAGCGUGGGGAGCAAACAGGAUUAGAUACCCUGGUAGUCCACGCUGUAAACGAUGUCGAUUUGAAGGUUGUUCCCUUGAGGAGUGGCUUUCGGAGCUAACGCGUUAAAUCGACCGCCUGGGGAGUACGGCCGCAAGGUUAAAACUCAAAUGAAUUGACGGGGGCCCGCACAAGCGGUGGAGCAUGUGGUUUAAUUCGAUGCAACGCGAAGAACCUUACCUACUCUUGACAUCCAGAGAACUUAGCAGAGAUGCU
rnacentral:rRNA from 1 species